rnacentral:rRNA from 1 species
UGGGGAUGACGUCAAGUCCUCAUGGCCCUUAUGGGUAGGGCUUCACACGUCAUACAAUGGUCGGUACAGAGGGUUGCCAAGCCGCGAGGCGGAGCCAAUCCCACAAAGCCGAUCGUAGUCCGGAUUGUUCUCUGCAACUCGAGAGCAUGAGGUCGGAAUCGCUAGUAAUCGCAGGUCAGCAUACUGCGGUGAAUACGUUCCCGGGUCUU